rnacentral:rRNA from 1 species
UACGAAGGGGGCUAGCGUUGCUCGGAAUCACUGGGCGUAAAGGGGGCGUAGGCGGGUCUUUAAGUCAGGGGUGAAAUCCUGGAGCUCAACUCCAGAACUGCCUUUGAUACUGAAGAUCUUGAGUUCGGGAGAGGUGAGUGGAACUGCGAGUGUAGAGGUGAAAUUCGUAGAUAUUCGCAAGAACACCAGUGGCGAAGGCGGCUCACUGGCCCGAUACUGACGCUGAGGUGCGAAAGCGUGGGGAGCAAACAGG